CCUACGGGCGGCUGCAGUGGGGAAUAUUGGACAAUGGGGGCAACCCUGAUCCAGCCAUGCCGCGUGUGUGAAGAAGGCCCUCGGGUUGUAAAGCACUUUCAGUGAGGAAGAACGCCUGGUGGUUAAUACCCAUCAGGAAAGACAUCACUCACAGAAGAAGCACCGGCUAACUCCGUGCCAGCAGCCGCGGUAAUACGGAGGGUGCGAGCGUUAAUCGGAAUUACUGGGCGUAAAGCGCGCGUAGGUGGCUUGAUAAGCCGGUUGUGAAAGCCCCGGGCUCAACCUGGGAACGGCAUCCGGAACUGUCAAGCUAGAGUGCAGGAGAGGAAGGUAGAAUUCCCGGUGUAGCGGUGAAAUGCGUAGAGAUCGGGAGGAAUACCAGUGGCGAAGGCGGCCUUCUGGACUGAGACUGACACUGAGGUGCGAAAGCGUGGGUAGCAAACAGGAUUAGAUACCCGAGUAGUC
rnacentral:rRNA from 1 species